rnacentral:rRNA from 1 species
CAGUAGCCACGGUAAUACGUAGGGCGCAAGCGUUGUCCGGAAUUAUUGGGCGUAAAGAGCUCGUAGGCGGUCUGUCGCGUCUGGUGUGAAAUCCCGAGGCUCAACCUCGGGCUUGCAUCGGGUACUGGCAGACUAGAGUGCGGUAGGGGAGACUGGAAUUCCUGGUGUAGCGGUGGAAUGCGCAGAUAUCAGGAGGAACACCGAUGGCGAAGGCAGGUCUCUGGGCCGCAACUGACGCUGAGGAGCGAAAGCAUGGGGAGCGAACAGGAUUAGAUACCCCAGUAGUCCCUGUCUCUUAUAC